AUCGUUUUUCAAGAUUUAACAAAUUUUACUUAAUCCAGUGGAAAACUAUUUCAGUAUCCAACUUUUAAAAUCUUUAAUUACUAAAAGCAUAUUUUAAAACUGUCAAUUAUAUAAAUGUUUAUACUGAAUGUGUUUCUAUAUAAUAAUUACAGAUGAAUUUCGAACCUUGUCUGACUGUGUUGUUAGUUUUAUGUCGGCCGGAUGGCGGCGUGGUAAAGCUGUGGCUUAUCACCCUGGAGGAUCUGGGUUUAAAUCCGAGUCCCACACCUCCAGUUUUUCAGGAGGGGUUCGGGCCCAGCGUUGAACCUCAAUCAUCCGGUUUACCCCAUCAUGGAUGUUGUCCAGUCUGUGAUGGGACCGCCGCCAGAUACAGUAUAUCGCUCGUGAGAUAUGGCGGCUUAACUUACCUAGCUUAACCUAUUAAUUUUAUAUCAUUGAAAGAGGUAUAGUGUCAAUUUCUAAAACAUUAUAUCAAAAUUAAACUUUUAAAUUUUUUAGUUUUUAUCGAUUAGCACUAACUUUAUUAUUAUUAAUAUGUAUAAAUGAGUUUUUUUAUUAAUUCUGAUUUUAU
rnacentral:lncRNA from 1 species